UGCAGAAAGGGGAUACAGAGAGGACUGCAGCCCAGCAGUGCCAGAAGGACUGAGCCCAGCAGUGCUGCAGCAGCUUUGCUGCUUGUGGGCCAGGAAGAAGAUACCUGGAAGAAUGGUUGGCUGAUCUCCUCCAGCAGGCUUUAAACUAGGUUCGUUAGGGGAAGGGGAGGACAAGGACAGAGGGAUCCAUGGAACACCAAACCAUGAGAUACCGACAGGAACAGCCCAGAAAGCAGUUAAAAGAAAUAGAAGAUUAGAUUUUGGAAAUAUUAUCAUUGUCACAGGGAAACAUCCUGGAGGACGAAUGAGCUAUUGACAUUCUCUCCUCAAGCAAGAAGCUGUCCCAGGAGAUCCAUGAGAAACAAGAAAUAACAACAAAGACUGAAAAACAAAUUGAUGAAACCAGAGAUGGCUACAGACCUGUAAAUAGCUUUUCACACUGUCGCAGUUACAGUUUGAAUUGAAUAGUUUAAAUUUGCAAAUUGAUGGAGAAAUGCACAUAUUUCUUUUUUAAGAAAUCCUAGUGAAGAACAGAUUUUAUAUUAGAUCUAAUUUAAAUAUCAAUGCAUAUGCUUACACUUAGUAAAAUAUCCAAAAUUAUGUGUACAAGCAUCUUAAGGAGUGCUGAUCAGAUAGAGCAUGGCAUAAUUUAAAUUAUCGCUUUUAACAUUUCAAUUGGCAGUGAUUGUUUCAGUUUUCACAAGUUUGGUUUUUAUUAUAUUUUACUGGAUUAGGCUGCAAACCAUUCAAGCAUCUUGUUCUUUGUCAUCACUAACCUGAUUUAGGUUAAUUCUGUAUAUCAAUACUCCUUAGCUUUGGUUUGCAUCAGUUUUAUCAACAGCAGAGAGCCUCUAAUUUAUUAUAUUAGAAGAUCAGCAAACUUAAUAAUAUAUAACUAUAGGUAGAUUUAAACAUACCCAAUAUGAUUGCAAAUUUGGAAACAAUGAAACUAUUGGCCUCUUUCCACUAGUGUAAUGCAACUAUGUAAUAGUAAUUAUUAAUAAAAGGCUAAUAUAAAUAAAUAUAAUAUGAA